rnacentral:lncRNA from 1 species
CUAUAGGAACUUUAUACCCUUCAGUUCAUUUUGAUGACAGAAGUAAUUUGAUAUUGAGAAUGAGAGUAAGGGAAAGUUGAACAAAAUUAGAGAAAUACAAUCAAAAUAAUAUCUUGCAUCUUUCAAAAAUUUGUCAAAGAUACAUUCCAACAAAACUCAUCUCAUAGUUUAUUAUUGGAGAUUACUGAGGAUAUGUGUGACAGCAGGACUGACCCUGUAUGAUACUGAUGUACAAACUAUUAGACUCCCCAACUUGAUUUCUAUUCUAUUCAGUUAGUUAUGACAGUUAUUUUUGUAAUUUUUCUGCUGUGUCAAUUAUGUUGUAAUCCAUUUGUAUAUAAAGUUUCAUCUCAAAGUAAUGAUUUAUGGAUUUUUUUUCAUUUUCUGC